rnacentral:rRNA from 1 species
CCUACGGGUGGCAGCAGUCGAGAAUUUUUCUCAAUGGGGGCAACCCUGAAGGAGCGACGCCGCGUGGAGGAUGAAGGCUUUCGGGUUGUAAACUCCUGUCAUUUGAGAACUAGUAUCAGAAGAGGAAGGGACGGCUAACUCUGUGCCAGCAGCCGCGGUAAUACAGAGGUCCCGAGCGUUGUUCGGAUUCAUUGGGCGUAAAGGGUGCGUAGGUGGCGCCGUAAGUCGGGUGUGAAAUUUCGGAGCUUAACUCCGAAACUGCAUUCGAUACUGCGGUGCUUGAGGACUGGAGAGGAGACUGGAAUUCAUGGUGUAGCAGUGAAAUGCGUAGAGAUCAUGAGGAAGACCAGUGGCGAAGGCGGGUCUCUGGACAGUCCUGACACUGAGGUACGAAGGCCAGGGGAGCAAACGGGAUUAGAUACCCUUGUAGUC